rfam:Daphnia pulex DAPPTscaffold_300_Cont8484, whole genome shotgun sequence.
GGCCUGUUAGCUCAGUUGGUUAGAGCGCCGUGUUAAUAAGGUGAAGGUCAUGAGUUCGAUCCUCUUACGGGCCA